rnacentral:rRNA from 1 species
CAGUAGCCGCGGUAAUACGGAGGGGGCAAGCGUUAUCCGGAAUUAUUGGGCGUAAAGGGUACGUAGGUGGCCUUUUAAGCGUAGGGUAUAAGGCAAUGGCUCAACCAUUGUUCGCCCUAUGAACUGGAAGGCUUGAGUGCAGGAGAGGAAAGCGGAAUUCCUAGUGUAGCGGUGGAAUGCAUAGAUAUUAGGAGGAACAUCAGCGGCGAAGGCGGCUUUCUGGACUGCAACUGACACUGAGGUACGAAAGCGUGGGGAGCAAACAGGAUUAGAUACCCGGGUAGUCCCUGUCUCUUAUACA